rnacentral:rRNA from 1 species
CGGAGGGUGCAAGCGUUAUCCGGAUUUAUUGGGUUUAAAGGGUCCGUAGGCGGAUCGGUAAGUCAGUGGUGAAAUCUCAUAGCUUAACUAUGAAACUGCCAUUGAUACUGUCGGUCUUGAGUGUAUUUGAAGUAGCUGGAAUGAGUAGUGUAGCGGUAGAAAUGCAUAGAUAUUACUCAGAACACCAAUUGCGAAGGCAGGUUACUAAGAUACAACUGACGCUGAUGGACGAAAGCGUGGGGAGCGAACAGGAUU